AUGUCUUUGCAUAUUCAUCUUUACGAAAACGGGUUUCACGACAGUGGUAUAAACAGCUGUGUUUAUUCAAUCCAAUCGACGUUAUAUUAUACCUGUGCUAUUUAUAUCCCGGUACGGUCAUAUUUGAAAUAUUGAUAUCUACUGAAGAUGACUAAUGAAACUAAUAUACCAAGUCAGUAUGAUACUGACUAUGGAUAUGAUCAAACCUAUGAUCCAGCAUUCAUUGCUGAACAGCAGCGUGCACUUGGUGAAGCUGCAGCCCGAGUUCAGGCUAGAACGACUCCAGGCGAUGACAGGCAUGCAUCGCCACCUAUUCCACUAAAUGCUUAUGGAUAUGAUCAACAAAGCCUUGCCGGAGCUAGACCAGAGUAUUCUGAUACCAUCAGUACUCAAGAUCAGAUGAUGAACCAGCCUGUGUUGACCACAGUAACAACACAGAAACCAGAGUCUCACAUUUGGUUAUCUGUCUUCACGUGUGUGUGUUGUUGCAUGCCACUGGGAUUAGUAGCCACAAUAAUGUCUUUAAAGGCUAAUUCUGCCGCAGAAAAUGGUUCAUAUGAUGUAGCCAGAAGCUACGCCCAAAUGGCUAAAGGCCUCGUCAUUGCAGGAGUUAUAGUAGGCACGAUCAUCGCAGUGAUUGCUGCAGUGAUAUUCUUCAACGCAGAUUCUUAUGUAGAAUUGUAAUCGUUAACCCCCAUGUCCAACAAACAAUACGAAAUCAUUCAAUUAUGUUUGUUCCUUUCAAUAUCAAAAAAAAAGUUAUUUUCAUUAAAAAUAAAUAUUAUUUCUCCUUUUUUAAAAACAUUUACGAAUAAAUAGUGUUCGGUCCCUGUUAUUAAAGCUUUAAAUUAGCAUCUUUUCUCAUUAAAAUAUGUAUAAUCUUUCCAUUACCUGUUAAUAGUUUCAUUAAAAUACACACACAUAUGCCCGCCAGCAGCAUUUUGAGGGUGAUAGGCAAUAACGGCGCAUAAAAUUAAUGUGAGAUUCUGAAUUUCGACACGGGGUCACUUAGCGCAAGAGUGGCCAAACUAUAACACAAUAAGCACUGUUUCUAUCUUCGUUCGCAUUUUUUAAUUUAAUAUUCUGAAAUUAUAUGUCAUAUCACAAGCAGUAAUUUAUUAUAACAUACUGAAACAACUUUGUUGUAAUCAGAAAAUUCCACAUUAAAAAUUGUAUUUAACAUUUGAA